rnacentral:rRNA from 1 species
UACGUAGGUAGCAAGCGUUGUCCGGAUUUAUUGGGUUUAAAGGGUGCGUAGGCGGCUUUGUAAGUCAGUGGUGAAAUAUGGCAGCUCAACUGUCAAGGUGCCAUUGAUACUGCGGAGCUUGAGUACAGAUGAGGUAGGCGGAAUUGACGGUGUAGCGGUGAAAUGCUUAGAUAUCGUCAAGAACACCUAUAGCGAAGGCAGCUUACUAGGCUGUAACUGACGCUGAGGCACGAAAGUGUGGGGAUCAAACAGG